GCCUAAUACAUGCAAGUCGAGCGGACAGAUGGAGAGCUUGCUCCCUGAUGUUAGCGGCGCCCCCGGAAAAGUAACACGUGGGUAACCUGCCUGUAAGACUGGGAUAACUCCGGGAAACCGGGGCUAAUACCGGAUGGUUGUCUGAACCGCAUGGUUCAGACAUAAAAGGUGGCUUCGGCUACCACUUACAGAUGGACCCGCGGCGCAUUAGCUAGUUGGUGAGGUAACGGCUCACCAAGGCGACGAUGCGUAGCCGACCUGAGAGGGUGAUCGGCCACACUGGGACUGAGACACGGCCCAGACUCCUACGGGAGGCAGCAGUAGGGAAUCUUCCGCAAUGGACGAAAGUCUGACGGAGCAACGCCGCGUGAGUGAUGAAGGUUUUCGGAUCGUAAAGCUCUGUUGUUAGGGAAGAACAAGUGCCGUUCAAAUAGGGCGGCACCUUGACGGUACCUAACCAGAAAGCCACGGCUAACUACGUGCCAGCAGCCGCGGUAAUACGUAGGUGGCAAGCGUUGUCCGGAAUUAUUGGGCGUAAAGGGCUCGCAGGCGGUUUCUUAAGUCUGAUGUGAAAGCCCCCGGCUCAACCGGGGAGGGUCAUUGGAAACUGGGGAACUUGAGUGCAGAAGAGGAGAGUGGAAUUCCACGUGUAGCGGUGAAAUGCGUAGAGAUGUGGAGGAACACCAGUGGCGAAGGCGACUCUCUGGUCUGUAACUGACGCUGAGGAGCGUGUUGACCCGGAGCC
rnacentral:rRNA from 1 species